rnacentral:rRNA from 1 species
CAGGCCACUAGGUACUUCUUGACACUGCUAGGACGAAAGCGUGGGGAGAGAAUGGGAUUAGAUACCCCAGUAUUCCACGCCCCUAAACGAUGAGUGCUUGCUUUUAGGAGGAGUCAAUCCCUCUUAGAGGCAAAAGCUAACGCUAUAAGCACUCCGCCUGUAGAUUACGAUCGCAAGAUUAAAACAUAAAGGAAUUGACGGGAACCCGCACAAGUGGUGGAUCAUGCGGUUUAAUUCGACUCUAAACGAGGAACCUCACCAAGGUUUGACAUGUUAAUGCUAAUCCUAUGAAAGUAGGACUCCUUCGAGGGUUUAACACAGAUGAUGCACGGUCGUCGUCAGCUCGUGUCGUGAGAUGUUCGGUUAAGUCCGAAAACGAGCGCAACCCCUAUCUUUAGUUAUUUAAUGUCUAAAGACACUGCCCAGGAUUAACUGGGAGGAAGGCAGGGAUGACGUCAGAUCAGCGUGUCUCUUACACCUUGGGCUACACGCAUGAUACAAUGGGAAUGGUACAACGGGACGCCAAGCGGUAACGCGGAGCAAAUCCUCUAAAACCACCCUAAGUACGGAUUGAGGUCUGCAACUCGACCUCAUGAAGCUGGAAUCACUAGUAAUCGCGAAUCAGCCUCGUCGCGGUGAAUACGUUCUCGGGUUUUGUACACACUGCCCGUCACGGCCUGGAAAUUGGAUGAGCCCCAAAACAUCAUUUAUGGUGAGAAG